rnacentral:pre_miRNA from 1 species
UUAACUCAAAUGUAUAUUGAGUUGGAGCGUUUGCCUACAUUUGCUGCUAGGGGCGCUGUUCAAACUGCAUACAAAUUUGAGAUA